rfam:Prevotella multisaccharivorax DSM 17128 genomic scaffold scaffold_3, whole genome shotgun sequence.
CCCCUGACUGUAGUGCAGGGCGCACUCUCGUACAACGCGCGAGGGCCGAAGAAUGUUAAACUUCAGAAAUCAAACAAACAGAAUGUCAAAU